rnacentral:rRNA from 1 species
GACGAACCGUGCAAACGUUGUUCGGAAUCACUGGGCUUAAAGGGCGCGUAGGCGGACCGGAUAGUCUGUGGUGAAAGCCCCCAGCUUAACUGGGGAAGUGCCAUGGAUACUGCCGGUCUGGAGGAGGGUAGGGGCAUCUGGAACGCUGGGUGGAGCGGUGAAAUGCGUUGAUAUCCAGCGGAACUCCGGUGGCGAAGGCGAGGUGCUGGACCCUUUCUGACGCUGAUGCGCGAAAGCCAGGGGAGCAAACGGG